GUUUAACAUGAUGGACUAUAGGACAGGACUGCUGCUUUUAACUGUCUGUUGGGCAGGUGUUGAUGGUCAGACUCUGACAGAAUCUGAACCAGCGGUUAAGAGGCCUGGAGAAUCCCACAAAUUGACCUGUACAACCUCUGGAUUGUCAUUCAGCAGCUACUGGAUGGCCUGGAUCAGACAGGCUCCUGGAAAAGGACUGGAGUGGAUUGCUACUGAAGCUGGUAGCAGCGGCAAAUUCUACUCUCAGUCAGUCCAAGGCCGGUUUACCGUCUCCAGAGACAACAGCAAAGAGCAGCUGUAUCUGCAGAUGAACAGUCUGAAGACUGAAGAUUCUGCUGUUUAUUAUUGUGCUCGACACUCACAGUGACUGGAGUUGGUGGAGCAGCUGUACAAAAUCCUACAAGACUCAUCUUUACUGUGCUGAUAUAUCCUGAGAAGACUUCUGUUUUUAUUUAAACUUUAUUUGUUGUUAUUAAUGAAAUCAUGAAAACUAACCCUGGGAAAGAUCAUCAAUUAUCCAACAACAACAAACACAUAAACACAAAUGUUACUGUUAUGAUCAUGUCAUCAGAAAACAAUCUGUUGAAAUCAUUUCAGCCACAUUAAUGUAUAAAUUAUUUGGCUUCUUAAGUCUGUCACAAUAUGGGAGUGGAAAAUAAUGUUCCUUUUUAUUAAAACACUAGAGGGCA